rnacentral:rRNA from 1 species
GACGAACGCUGGCGGCACGCUUAACACAUGCAAGUCGAACGAAGAUGUUUCACCGUAGCUUACUACACCGAGACAUUUUAGUGGCGGACGGGUGAGUAACGCGUGGGUAACCUGCCGUAUGCAGGGGGACAACAGUUGGAAACGACUGCUAAUACCGCAUAAUGUAUUCGGAGGGCAUCCUCUGGAUACCAAAGCUUUAUGUGCUGAGAGAUGGUCUCGCGUCUGAUUAGCUAGAUGGCGGGGUAACGGCCCACCAUGGCGACGAUCAGUAGCCGGUCUGAGAGGAUGAACGGCCACAUUGGGACUGAGAUACGGCCCAGACUCCUACGGGAGGCAGCAGUGGGGAAUAUUGGGCAAUGGGGGAAACCCUGACCCAGCAACGCCGCGUGAAGGAAGAAGGCUUUCGGGUUGUAAACUUCUUUUAGCAGGGACGAAGGACGUGACGGUACCUGCAGAAAAAGCAACGGCUAACUACGUG